AGUGAACGCUGGCGGUAGGCCUAACACAUGCAAGUCGAACGGCAGCACAGUAAGAGCUUGCUCUUACGGGUGGCGAGUGGCGGACGGGUGAGGCAUACAUCGGAAUCUACUUUUUCGUGGGGGAUAACGUAGGGAAACUUACGCUACUACCUCAUACGACCUACGGGUGAAAGCAUGGUAUCUUCGGUCCUUGCGCGAUUGAAUGAGCCGAUGUCGGAUGAGCUAGUUGGCGGGGUAAAGGCCCACCAAGGCGACGAUCCGUAGCUGGUCUGAGAGGAUGAUGAGCGACACGGGAACUGAGACACGGGCCAGACGCCUGAGGGAGGCAGCAGUGGGGAAUAUUGGACAAUGGGCGCAAGACUGAACCAGCAAUACCGCGUGGGUGAAGAAGGCCUUCGGGUUGUAAAGCCCUUUUGUUGGGAAAGAAAAGCAGCAGGUUAAUACCCCGCUGUGCUGACGGUACCCAAAGAAUAAGCACCGGCUAACUUCGUG
rnacentral:rRNA from 1 species